rnacentral:tRNA from 1 species
ACUCUAGUUUAAUAAAUAUUUGCUUGUCAAGUAAAAGAAGCAUUAUAAAGUGCGGGU